AUUGAACGCUGGCGGCAGGCCUAACACAUGCAAGUCGAGCGGUAGCACAGAGAGCUUGCUCUCGGGUGACGAGCGGCGGACGGGUGAGUAAUGUCUGGGAAACUGCCUGAUGGAGGGGGAUAACUACUGGAAACGGUAGCUAAUACCGCAUAAUGUCGCAAGACCAAAGUGGGGGACCUUCGGGCCUCAUGCCAUCAGAUGUGCCCAGAUGGGAUUAGCUAGUAGGUGGGGUAACGGCUCACCUAGGCGACGAUCCCUAGCUGGUCUGAGAGGAUGACCAGCCACACUGGAACUGAGACACGGUCCAGACUCCUACGGGAGGCAGCAGUGGGGAAUAUUGCACAAUGGUCGCAAGCCUGAUGCAGCCAUGCCGCGUGUGUGAAGAAGGCCUUCGGGUUGUAAAGCACUUUCAGCGGGGAGGAAGGCGGUGAGGUUAAUAACCUCAUCGAUUGACGUUACCCGCAGAAUAAGCACCGGCUAACUCCGUGCCAGCAGCCGCGGUAAUACGGAGGGUGCAAGCGUUUAUCGGAAUUACUGGGCGUAAAGCGCCCGCAGGCGGUCUGUCAGUCGGAUGUGAAAUCCCCGGGCUCAACCCUGGGAACUGCAUUCGAAACUGGCAGGCUAGAGUCUUGUAGAGGGGGGUAGAAUUCCAGGUGUAGCGGUGAAAUGCGUAGAGAUCUGGAGGAAUACCGGUGGCGAAGGCGGCCCCCUGGACAAAGACUGACGCUCAGGUGCGAAAGCGUGGGGAGCAAACAGGAUUAGAUACCCUGGUAGUCCACGCCGUAAACGAUGUCGAUUUGGAGGUUGUGCCCUUGAGGCGUGGCUUCCGGAGCUAACGCGUUAAAUCGACCGCCUGGGGAGUACGGCCGCAAGGUUAAAACUCAAAUGAAUUGACGGGGGCCCGCACAAGCGGUGGAGCAUGUGGUUUAAUUCGAUGCAACGCGAAGAACCUUACCUGGUCUUGACAUCCACAGAACUUUCCAGAGAUGGAUUGGUGCCUUCGGGAACUGUGAGACAGGUGCUGCAUGGCUGUCGUCAGCUCGUGUUGUGAAAUGUUGGGUUAAGUCCCGCAACGAGCGCAACCCUUAUCCUUUGUUGCCAGCGGUUAGGCCGGGAACUCAAAGGAGACUGCCAGUGAUAAACUGGAGGAAGGUGGGGAUGACGUCAAGUCAUCAUGGCCCUUACGACCAGGGCUACACACGUGCUACAAUGGCAUAUACAAAGAGAAGCGACCUCGCGAGAGCAAGCGGACCUCAUAAAGUAUGUCGUAGUCCGGAUUGGAGUCUGCAACUCGACUCCAUGAAGUCGGAAUCGCUAGUAAUCGUAGAUCAGAAUGCUACGGUGAAUACGUUCCCGGGCCU
rnacentral:rRNA from 1 species